rnacentral:rRNA from 1 species
AGACCCGAAACCCGGUGAUCUAGCCAUGGGCAGGUUGAAGGUUGGGUAACACUAACUGGAGGACCGAACCGACUAAUGUUGAAAAAUUAGCGGAUGACCUGUGGCUGGGGGUGAAAGGCCAAUCAAACCGGGAGAUAGCUGGUUCUCCCCGAAAGCUAUUUAGGUAGCGCCUCGUGAAUUCAUCUCCGGGGGUAGAGCACUGUUUCGGCUAGGGGGCCAUCCCGGCUUACCAACCCGAUGCAAACUGCGAAUACCGGAGAAUGUUAUCACGGGAGACACACGGCGGGUGCUAACGUCCGUCGUGAAGAGGGAAACAACCCAGACCGCCAGCUAAGGUCCCAAAGUCAUGGUUAAGUGGGAAACGAUGUGGGAAGGCCCAGACAGCCAGGAUGUUGGCUUAGAAGCAGCCAUCAUUUAAAGAAAGCGUAAUAGCUCACUGGUCGAGUCGGCCUGCGCGGAAGAUGUAACGGGGCUAAACCAUGCACCGAAGCUGCGGCAGCGACACUCAGGUGUUGUUGGGUAGGGGAGCGUUCUGUAAGUCUGCGAAGGUGGCCUGUGAGGGUUGCUGGAGGUAUCAGAAGUGCGAAUGCUGACAUAAGUAACGAUAAAGCGGGUGAAAAGCCCGCUCGCCGGAAGACCAAGGGUUCCUGUCCAACGUUAAUCGGGGCAGGGUGAGUCGACCCCUAAGGCGAGGCCGAAAGGCG